rnacentral:tRNA from 1 species
ACAUAUGGCUCAGUGGUAGAGCACUUGCCUAACAUGUGGGAGACACUGGGUUCAAUUCUCAGCACUGCA